rnacentral:rRNA from 1 species
CGGCGUCGAGCGGCGGACGGGUGAGUAAUGCCUAGGAAAUUGCCCUGAUGUGGGGGAUAACCAUUGGAAACGAUGGCUAAUACCGCAUGAUGCCUACGGGCCAAAGAGGGGGACCUUCGGGCCUCUCGCGUCAGGAUAUGCCUAGGUGGGAUUAGCUAGUUGGUGAGGUAAGGGCUCACCAAGGCGACGAUCCCUAGCUGGUCUGAGAGGAUGAUCAGCCACACUGGAACUGAGACACGGUCCAGACUCCUACGGGAGGCAGCAGUGGGGAAUAUUGCACAAUGGGCGCAAGCCUGAUGCAGCCAUGCCGCGUGUGUGAAGAAGGCCUUCGGGUUGUAAAGCACUUUCAGUCGUGAGGAAGGUAGUGUAGUUAAUAGCUGCAUUAUUUGACGUUAGCGACAGAAGAAGCACCGGCUAACUCCGUGCCAGCAGCCGCGGUAAUACGGAGGGUGCGAGCGUUAAUCGGAAUUACUGGGCGUAAAGCGCAUGCAGGUGGUUUGUUAAGUCAGAUGUGAAAGCCCGGGGCUCAACCUCGGAAUUGCAUUUGAAACUGGCAGACUAGAGUACUGUAGAGGGGGGUAGAAUUUCAGGUGUAGCGGUGAAAUGCGUAGAGAUCUGAAGGAAUACCGGUGGCGAAGGCGGCCCCCUGGACAGAUACUGACACUCAGAUGCGAAAGCGUGGGGAGCAAACAGGAUUAGAUACCCUGGUAGUCCACGCCGUAAACGAUGUCUACUUGGAGGUUGUGGCCUUGAGCCGUGGCUUUCGGAGCUAACGCGUUAAGUAGACCGCCUGGGGAGUACGGUCGCAAGAUUAAAACUCAAAUGAAUUGACGGGGGCCCGCACAAGCGGUGGAGCAUGUGGUUUAAUUCGAUGCAACGCGAAGAACCUUACCUACUCUUGACAUCCAGAGAACUUUCCAGAGAUGGAUUGGUGCCUUCGGGAACUCUGAGACAGGUGCUGCAUGGCUGUCGUCAGCUCGUGUUGUGAAAUGUUGGGUUAAGUCCCGCAACGAGCGCAACCCUUAUCCUUGUUUGCCAGCGAGUAAUGUCGGGAACUCCAGGGAGACUGCCGGUGAUAAACCGGAGGAAGGUGGGGACGACGUCAAGUCAUCAUGGCCCUUACGAGUAGGGCUACACACGUGCUACAAUGGCGCAUACAGAGGGCRGCCAACUUGCGAAAGUGAGCGAAUCCCAAAAAGUGCGUCGUAGUCCGGAUUGGAGUCUGCAACUCGACUCCAUGAAGUCGGAAUCGCUAGUAAUCGUGGAUCAGAAUGCCACGGUGAAUACGUUCCCGGGCCUUGUACACACCGCCCGUCACACCAUGGGAGUGGGCUGCAAAAGAAGUAGGUAGUUUAACCUUCGGGGGG